UACGGAGGAUGCAAGCGUUAUCCGGAAUGAUUGGGCGUAAAGCGUCCGCAGGUGGCAAUGUAAGUCUGCUGUUAAAGAGUCUAGCUCAACUAGAUAAAAGCAGUGGAAACUACAUAGCUAGAGUACGUUCGGGGCAGAGGGAAUUCCUGGUGUAGCGGUGAAAUGCGUAGAGAUCAGGAAGAACACCGGUGGCGAAAGCGCUCUGCUAGGCCGCAACUGACACUGAGGGACGAAAGCUAGGGGAGCGAAUGGG
rnacentral:rRNA from 1 species